rnacentral:tRNA from 1 species
GGUGCUGUAGCUCAGCGGUAGAGCGGGGGACUCAUAAGCCCUAGGUCACUGGUUCAAUCCCAGUCAGCACCA